rnacentral:rRNA from 1 species
CCUACGGGCGGCAGCAGUGAGGAAUAUUGGUCAAUGGACGAGAGUCUGAACCAGCCAAGUAGCGUGAAGGAUGACUGCCCUAAGGGUUGUAAACUUCUUUUAUAUGGGAAUAAAAUGUUCCACGUGUGGGAUUUUGUAUGUACCAUAUGAAUAAGGAUCGGCUAACUCCGUGCCAGCAGCCGCGGUAAUACGGAGGAUCCGAGCGUUAUCCGGAUUUAUUGGGUUUAAAGGGAGCGUAGGUGGAUUGUUAAGUCAGUUGUGAAAGUUUGCGGCUCAACCGUAAAAUUGCAGUUGAAACUGGCAGUCUUGAGUACAGUAGAGGUGGGCGGAAUUCGUGGUGUAGCGGUGAAAUGCUUAGAUAUCACGAAGAACUCCGAUUGCGAAGGCAGUUCACUGGACUGCAACUGACACUGAGGCUCGAAAGUGUGGGUAUCAAACAGGAUUAGAUACCCCUGUAGUC